AGAAUCAACGCUGGCGGCGUGCCUAACACAUGCAAGUCGAACGAGAAAGUGGAGCAAUCCACAAGUAAAGUGGCGCACGGGUGAGUAACACGUGACUAACCUACCCUUGAGUGGGGGAUAACCUAGAGAAAUCUGGGCUAAUACCGCAUAAUACCUUCGGGUCAAAGGAGCAAUUCGCUUAAGGAGGGGGUCGCGGCCGAUUAGUUAGUUGGCGGGGUAAUGGCCCACCAAGACUAUGAUCGGUAUCCGGCCUGAGAGGGCGCACGGACACACUGGAACUGAAACACGGUCCAGACUCCUACGGGAGGCAGCAGUGGGGAAUUUGCGCAAUGGGGGAAACCCUGACGCAGCAACGCCGCGUGGAGGAUGAAGCCCCUUGGGGCGUAAACUCCUUUCGAUCGGGACGAUAAUGACGGUACCGAGAGAAGAAGCCCCGGCUAACUUCGUGCCAGCAGCCG
rnacentral:rRNA from 1 species